AGAGGCAAACGCUACGAUGGUCCCGCGCGAGCGGGUUAAUAGGGAACACCGUCAUGCUCUGGGCAGAUGACCGUCCAGAUGCAGAGUCGGUGGCUGCUCCCGCAACUGUAGGCGGUAUGCUGCUGGUUCGUUCACAUCGAACGUGGACCACUGUUCCCACUGGGGACGGGAAGGUUGGAAUCAGUCAGCCAGGAGACCUGCCAUCGUUCAGCCACCAAC
rnacentral:ncRNA from 2 species